CUCAAUGGCCUAAAUGUCCUAAAUGCCCCAGAUCCCAUCUGAUCUUGGGAGCAAAGCAGGAACAGCUCUGGUUAGUACUUGGAAGGAAUACCUGGUGCUGUAGGCU
rnacentral:rRNA from 1 species